GACAGGGGGGACAAGUGUUACUCAUCAUGACUGGGCGUAAAGGGCAUCUAGGCGGUCUAGUGGUGUUUUCUGUGAAAUACUUUGGAAGGUUCAAAGUCUACAGUUUAUACUCUUAGGCUUGAGUUUGUUAUACGGUCGCUGAACUCUUAAUAUAAGGGUGGAAUCUCUAGAUAUUAAGGGGACAACCAAUGGCGAAGGCAGCGGCCGAGGGCGUAACUGACGCUGAUAUGCGAAGGCGUGGGGAUCGAACGGG
rnacentral:misc_RNA from 1 species